rnacentral:rRNA from 1 species
UACAGAGGGUGCGAGCGUUAAUCGGAAUUACUGGGCGUAAAGGGUGCGUAGGUGGUUAUAUAAGACGGAUGUGAAAACCCUGGGCUUAACCUGGGAAUGGCAUUUGGAACUGUAUGACUAGAGUUUGGUAGAGGGAAGUGGAAUUUCCGGUGUAGCGGUGAAAUGCGUAGAUAUCGGAAGGAACACCAGUGGCGAAGGCGACUUUCUGGACUGAGACUGACACUGAGGCACGAAGGCGUGGGGAGCAAACAGG